rnacentral:tRNA from 2 species
GGAGCAGAAGCAGAGUGGUGAUGCUUGUGUAUGGAGUUUAGAAGGGCAUGGGUUCGAAUCCCCUCUGCCCCC